rnacentral:lncRNA from 1 species
AGUACUGGAGACUGAAGAGAAGAUGACAGGAUCUAAUGGGGGAGUCCAUGCUUGCUUGAAGGAGGAGAGAUAUGGAUCUGGACAAACCAGUCCUUUCCAUCAUGGGCUCCUGUGGAAAAUGACCCCAGCUCAGCUCAGUAGUUGAUGGGACAUCUGAUUCAGGUUGGACCCAGCCCAGACAUCUGAUUCAAACAAUAUUCUUCUCCAGGAAUUUUGUAACCAGCACUGGUAAAGGGAGGGAAGUGCUCCCCAGUGGGGAGAGCUGCAGAAUGUGAGACUUGGAAACCAAAGGCCGCCAUGUUUUCUGUCUCAUGAUGGAAUCCAAUCUUCUUUGGCGGGGAAAAUAAAUGAAGCCAACACCAGUAGGACAACAUAUAUCAAGCAGGGGCCAUUGCUCCAGCCUGACUCCAGGAAUCAGCAGACAGCGCAGCCUCAUUCUCCACCUGCUCCCUGCAGUACAGCCUCAGAACCACACAGUUGCAGCCAACCAGCUCCUGACAUGGAACUUGAGCAACAAAUGCCCUUUGUUUUUGCAAGUCCCUGAGAUUUGGAAGUUGUUACACAGCAUUCUCUCAGCCAGAAGUGACUGACAUGGUCACUGAGAGGCUGACCCAAGGACAAAAGU